AUGAAAAAUCUCUCAAGAAGUUCUCUCUGGACUUCACUAGUUUUCAUCAUCCAUUCUUCAUUUCUCCAUCAACAACAACCUUCAUCUUUCUCUCUGAAUCACAAGUUCAUGAUAACAACCUUACAUCAGAUUUUUUCCCCAAUCUUCAGCCAUAUUUCUGCGUUCACCAUCAUCGUCAAUACUUCUCCAUUUCAAUCCCCACCAUGUGAAGAUCAACAAUAA